rnacentral:rRNA from 1 species
UACGUAGGGUGCAAGCGUUGUCCGGAAUUAUUGGGCGUAAAGAGCUCGUAGGCGGUCUGUCGCGUCGGCUGUGAAAACCCGGGGCUCAACCCCGGGCCUGCAGUCGAUACGGGCAGACUAGAGUGCGGUAGGGGAGACUGGAAUUCCUGGUGUAGCGGUGAAAUGCGCAGAUAUCAGGAGGAACACCGGUGGCGAAGGCGGGUCUCUGGGCCGAUACUGACGCUGAGGAGCGAAAGCGUGGGGGAGCGAACAGG